rnacentral:RNase_P_RNA from 1 species
CCAGGGGGCCGGGCAGCCGCGUGAUCGCAAGAUCCCGAGGAAAGUCCGGGCUCCACGAAACAAGGGUGGCGGGUAACGCCCGCCGGGCUUGGGAUUAACGUCCCCGGUCAAGGGAAAGUGCCACAGAGAGCAGACCGCCUCUCACGAGGUAAGGGUGAAAGGGUGCGGUAAGAGCGCACCGCGCGACCGGCAACGGAAGCGGCAUGGCAAACCCCACCCGGAGCAAGAUCGAAUAGGGACUGCGCGCUUCGCAAGAGGCAGGCUUGUUUCGGGCCAGCAGUCCGGGUUGAUUGCUUGAGCGUUCCGGCAACGGUCCGCCUAGAGGAAUGGCUGCCAGUGCCGAUACGGUCCACUCGUGGGAUACCGUCGGCGCUACAGAACCCGGCUUACAGGCCCCCUGGCAUA